rnacentral:rRNA from 1 species
AUGCAAAACCAUAAACUUGGGGAUGCUAAUUUCGGUAUGUCCACUACUAAUUGUAAUGAUCAUGAAUGGGGUGAUUCUUCUUAUGAUCUUGAAAAUUUGUUGAAGCCCCAUGAUAAAUAUGAGAUUGAUAAUAAUGUUUACAAUAAUAUUGAAAGUGGGUUUGGAGAAGUCAUGACUUUAUUUUAUGACAAUCCCACUAUUUUGGAAGAGUGUCAACUUUGCAUGCAUGUGGAUCAUGAAGUGAAUAUUUUAUGUGAUAGAUAUAUUGUUGAAUUUGCUUAUGAUCCUACAUGUAAUUAUUAUGAGAGAGGAAAAUAUGGUUGUAGAAAUUUCCAUGUUACUAAAUUUUCUCUCGUUAUGGUGAGAUUGCUUUUGUUUCUUUCUUCUUCCUUGCAUAUGCUAGAUCUUGCUUGUAUUGCUAAUUUGUUUUCCUAUAAAAUGUCUAUGCAUAGGAAAUAUGUUAGACUUAGAUGUGAUUUUAAUAUGAUACAUGAUGCUCUCUUCGUGUUUCAAUUGCUACCUUUUAUGUGA